AGGACGAACGCUGGCGGCGUGCCUAAUACAUGCAAGUCGAACGGUCUUUCUAUGGAAGCUUGCUUCCACUGAGAAGAUAGUGGCGAACGGGUGAGUAACACGUGGGUAACCUGCCCAUAAGAGGGGGAUAACAUCCGGAAACGGGUGCUAAUACCGCAUAGUUUUCUUGAUCGCAUGAUUGAGAAAGGAAAGACGGCUUUGUGCUGUCGCUUAUGGAUGGACCCGCGGCGUAUUAGUUAGUUGGUGAGGUAACGGCUCACCAAGACGAUGAUACGUAGCCGACCUGAGAGGGUGAUCGGCCACAUUGGGACUGAGACACGGCCCAAACUCCUACGGGAGGCAGCAGUAGGGAAUCUUCCGCAAUGGACGAAAGUCUGACGGAGCAACGCCGCGUGAGUGAAGAAAGGUUUUCGGAUCGUAAAACUCUGUUGUCAGAGAAGAACAAGUUGGAGAGUAACUGCUCCAGCCUUGACGGUAUCUGACCAGAAAGCCACGGCUAACUACGUGCCAGCCGCUGC
rnacentral:rRNA from 1 species